CUCCUCCAAGCGAAGGGAGGACACCAGGCACAACAGCGUAGAGUGUGGAGUCAGGAGCGUUUGGAGAAAAGCAAACAGGAAAGGUAUGGAGCACCCACCGGGGGCAUCUAUGUAGAAUUAUUGGACAUGGAGUCAAGGACAGGAUGACAUUUUAGGGGACAUAUAAGGAUAUGAGGGGCAGGCAGUUUGGAUGACGAGGGGAAGGGCAUCCAUGCAGAGGAAUAGGUAGGAGGCCCUGUGGGAGGCACAUGCUCAGCAUGGCCAGGGAUUGGCAGGAGGACCCUGGGGCCGAGUCAGGGAAUGGGGCGGCAGGAGAUAAGCUCAGACGUGAACUGUCAGGUAGGGCGUGGCACAGGCUUGUAACGAGGCCAUGGUGGGCUGCUGGAAGGACUUUGACACUGGAAGCCACUGGAGGGUUUUGAGCAGAAAAAUGAUUAGAUUUCAUUUUUCCAAAACAUGACCCUGGUGCAAAGAGUUUAGACAACGAAGUUGGGGGGCAUAUUGCCAACAUUACACUCACGUCUACCCCAAAUGCAGGUUCCAGGCUUCCGAAACAACCCUCAGCUUCAAUGAUUCACUGGAUGGACUUGUGGAAUUCCCUGAGAGCUGCUGUGCACAUGCUGACAGUUUAUCACAGGGCAAGGGUACAGAUAAAAUAAGCUGGGGCCAGAGCACACGGGGCGGCAUCCAGGAGAAGCCCUGAGGCAGCACUUCCAUCACACUCGGCCCAGGAUGAGCUGCUUCCUUGGCCUCCGUGUGUGACAACCCGCAGGGCUUCUGCUGCUGCCUGGCCUGGAGACCCCACUCAGUCACACCAUCACCAUCCAGCAAGCCCAAGGCACCCAGAAGGAUAAAGAUCGCUCCCAGGACCUGAGGACAAAAGCAGACAUUUUGGGGGCACGGGUAGAUUUUUACUACACACCUGGCUUCUGUGUGAAUGAGAAACCAUUGAGUCUCAGGAAAUGCUGUCAUCUUCUAUCUAAAUUUAUUUUCUUAUCCAGGGAAGGAACUGCAAACACAACUAAUAUACACGCACUGGAUGGAAUUCCACAGCAGGUGGGAGACUUGGGAAAGAUCCUUGUUUUCGUAAGAAAACACAAUCUCAGCUGGGUGCGGUGGCUCACGCCUGUAGUCCUGGCACUUUGGGAGGUCGAGGUGGGCAGAUCACCUGAGGCCAGGAGUUUGAGACCAGCCUGGAUAACAUGGUGAAACCCCGUCUCUACUAAAAAAUAUGAAAAUUAGCUGGGCCUGGCGGCACCACCUCCUCCUCCCCGCACAGGGACAGAUACUGACCGGGUGUGAGAGUAAGGCCCCGUGAAGACGAACCUUGGGGAGCUCACUGGGGUCCCUACUUGGAAUUUUAAAGCAAAACCAUGUUGCUGGAAGUGAAAUCCUCUUCAGAUUUACGAAUUAUGGGGCUCCAUUGGAGGAAACAAUCCCUAUGGGCCAAUGACCUCGUUUCAUCCCAAAUUAUCCUCUGGUUUUACAACUGGUUAGUUUCUUGUAUUUCCAGGAUUUAUAAAUUGCAAGUUUGCUUGUGAAGUGGUAGAAUCCAUUUUUGAAUUUGUUUCUUAACUAUUGAUAGGGCUAGUAAAAUUCAAAUGAUUGCAUAAACCUUAGAAACUAAGGUCAGUUCAGUGAACAUUCUUGGUGCUAUUUCAACAAUCCUUGAAGGUUUAACACGUCUGUGAUAUUACUGUGUGAUUUCGUGUUAUCACUGUCUUAUGUGCAUUCUAAGCAUGAAACUGUGUCCAGUAGCUGUUUUUGAGGACCCUACUAAUUAUACAGCUGAUGGUAGCAUCAGCCGUUUGUUCAAUGUUAAAUUAUUUUGUAUUUUCUAAACAACUGACAUUUUCUCCUAGCAAACUACUGAUAGGAAAUUGUAUGUGCCAUGUUUUCUUCCAACAGUCUUGAAUAUGCCACUGCAUUCCUGCCUGGGUAAAAGAGUGAGACCCUCUCUCAAAAAAAAACUAAAAUGAAAAGGCCCAGGAUGAAAUAGAGUGUUUCAAAACCCACAGCUACUCCCCAUCCUUUUUCUAUCCCAAGAGCUGUGCCUCAGGGAUGUAAUAAAAUAAACAUACAAACUUUCUAAAGGCUGAUUUUACAAUUUUUAAUUAAAUAAAUACUACUCA
rnacentral:lncRNA from 1 species